rnacentral:lncRNA from 1 species
AAUGUUUAUUUUUGUUACUUUUCAUAAACCCUCCAUUCCAGGGUCUACAUGCAAAAGUUCUGUUAUUUUAGAGUCAAGCUAUUGUUACUAAGGGAUUUAUUUUGGCAAUUUAGUCAUUUGUUAGGUUAUAAGGCUGCAGAAACUUUUAGUUGAGGUUGAGGUUUGACGUUCUACAGCUGCGACCCACCAUCGCUGGGCCACCGCGGCGGCAUCACCUUCAGGGUGGACCUGCCCGUGGCCAUCCGCCGGUCGGACCCGCCUGCAGUCCGCAGGGAAGCUGCCCUGCGAGCCAUUGCAGAGCUCCCGCACCCGGACGUCACUAUCUGGUCGGACGGCUCGGCUCGCGGCGGGACGGAACAGGGCGGCGUAGGCGCUGAUCCAGUUCCACCGCCUCAACAGAGAAGAGACCGUGCGCGCUCCUGCAGGGGCGAUCUGCUCCAGCCUAAGAGCAGAACUGACCGCCAUGCGUUAGGCGUUCGCGGCUGUGGCCGGCCUGGAAGACGGGGAGUUGGCAUCGACCAAGUCGGUCCGCCUCCUCACCGACUCAAGGUCUGGGCUCCAACUACUCGGCCGCGGCCCAGCUAACCAGACCAUGGCCCUGGCCGCCGAGGUGUGGAGGCUGUUGAGUGCUGAGCAUCCUCGCCGAGAACGGCACCAAGACGGUGCUCCAGUGGGUGCCAGGCCAUGCCGGGCUGGACGGCAACGAAACCGCCGACCGCCUGGCUGGCGAGGCUACGGCGGGCGACCAAGACAGUGCACCGAUCGACCUGUCGAGUGCGCGGGCCGCCGUCACGCGCCAUGUCCGGGAGCUGUCGCGACAGAGGGCAACCGCUGCCCACCCGCACCCGGACCCCACGCCUGGCCACGACUCCCUGGCGCGCUGGGGGUCGGUGACGCUGUCCCAGCUGAGGACCGGCACAUCACCGCUGACCCGUGACACGCUCCACAAGAUUGGCCCGGCAGCCGACGACGAAUGCCCCGCGUGCGGGGAGCCCGACAGCGCGGCGCACCUACUGACCGAUUGUCCGGCCUAUGAGGCGGCCCGCCGCCGCCGCUGGGGUGUCGACCCUCGCCUGGUCGACGUCCUCGGCGGCCCGGCGACGAAGGUCGUCACCUUCAUCGAGGAUGCUGGGCGGACCGAGCCGCCGCUCGACCCGCCUGCGCCGCCCCCCCCCCCCCCCCCUGAGCGGGUUGGCGGUGGGAUGCAGAAGAAGAAGAAGAAGCAACUGCCAGCGCGCCACGGCGGCGAAGCCGAGUUCCGCCGCUGGACCGCCCGCGCAAUAGCCAGCACAGACAAGAGACAACCGAAUUACAACACCUACAAUUACGUUAUUGUUAUGGUAUUGACAUUGUUACAAUUAACCCUGCUCUUUCGAGCGUGGAUGCACGCUGAAAUUGUCGCAUAAUUCCAUGCAGCUUCCACCCUUCUGCAAUACAAAGUUUGAAUACAAAGUAGUCUUGCAAUAGGUUUAGAGCUUAUGUGCAGAUGCUGGUUGACUUGAUAAUUGGAAUUGUGUUUAUCUGUUUCAUCUGUUUUGACUUAAAUAUAUGGCCAUGGACUAUGGCCUACCUUGGGAA